rnacentral:pre_miRNA from 1 species
AACAAAAACAACUUUUCAGCUUUUAGAUACAAUGUUUGACUUUUCGUCUUAUUUAAAAUAAUUUAUAAUUUUAUUUUUAUUAGAUGAUAAAACAUGAACAGUAUUUUAUGUGUAACUAAUUUUUUAAAAAUUUCUUAAAUUUUUUUUAAAUAAGACGGAUGGUCAGAUGUUUGACAAAAAACC